CUUCACAGAGGAGGGCGUGGCAGGGUCACUGGACCCUCACUGAGCAUCCAGCCUCUCUCUCCCAGCCAGCUGUGUGCAGUUCUGCCCUAAUUGCACUUGGCCUCAAGGUCUUAGCGGGGAGUUGGAGUCUAACAGUGGAGGAAGAUUAGGGCGAAGAGCCUCCAUCGACUAAGCUAUUGGGGAGUCAUCGUUCAUGCUGGGUGCAGACUCUCCAGCAUGGCUGCCUGUCAGUAACCCCUCAGCCACAUUCUGUCAGUGGCCAUGGAGAUCCCACCUGAUGGACUGUAACCAGGGUCCAGUCUACAAAGAAGAGGGCCAGCAGAGUGGGAAAAUGUCCUCCCUGGUUCCGAGUAAAGCUUGAAGAGCCAAGUAAAGCUUUUGACUUAGUCUCACAUAAAAGAAACAACUGGGAAAAAAAGAGGAGGGAACCAGAGGUCCCUCUCAAACCCAGGUGACCCCUGAGGACCAGAGACUCAACUGGCCUCAACAGUUAAAAGAGAAAAGGUUAACACUGGCCACCAGCACACUUCUCACUGCCCAGCAGGAAAACACAACCAAAGACCAAUGAUUGGUGUUUGCACGAGAGUCUAAGGGGUCACUCCCCAGACAUUAGGCUUAACUCCAUACAGGCCACUGUUUAGACAAUUACUCCUCACUAAUGAUUGACAUCUCGAUAAGAAAAAUGCUGUCCGACUUAAGGCCUCCGACCUCGGCUCGCUGUGGCACCUGCCUGCUGCCCACACGAGGGAGCCACUGUUAUUCUCACCUUAACCUAAAACACAAUGACAACUAAAUAUCUCUUCUCUCUACCCAGAAGACAUAGGGGAGGGACCUCACACUGAUUCGAGCCACUCCAGCAUCUAGCAAGGUCCUGAAAGCAGACCCUGGGCUCAUCACUCUGGAGACCAGCUUUAGAGGCCAAAGACAAACAAGGAGUGCAGUGAAUGGAGCUCUUGUGAGCCCGUCAAGAGAUCCUAAUGGAGCUCGAUUUUGACAUUUAAAAUCUUGAUUCUGACUCCUGGUUCCCCGCCUGGGCCUUGCUAUGCUAACCGACUUCCUCCACUUCUCCAGUCCUUGCUACACCCGACAGUUAUACAGACGACACUGCCCGUGCAUUUGGGGCGUCUUUUUUCCUAAUAGGGCCACUAGAGAUGAACCCUGACUGCUGUACCUAACGAGCCCUUUCAGCUACAAAGAGUCAGACCAGUGCUUGUCUGUCUUUAUAACAGCACUUUUCUCUUCAGGAGGACUUUUUUAAAAAGUCAGAGAAGGGGAAACUGGGUUGAUCAGUCUGUCUUGUCUUGAACCUUCCCUUCUCCUCUGUGCUGAUUGGUAAGUUGAGUCAGAUUGUAGCAUUUCGACCCCACUAACAAGAUGAGAUGUAACCACCACCUUCAUUAGGAAGGCAGGUGCCAUUUUGCUGACUGUGUGGCCUUGCCUAGCUUCUGGUUGUGACGCAAUCAUUCCGUAAGAAGAUCUCACCCUGACAAAUUACUUUUACCUAGGUCAUGUGUUCGUUGUGACACCUGAAGUAUUCUUUUCCUACCUUGGGGUUCCCUGCUCAUUCUCGGUACAGCCAGGGAUGGAGCCCCACUCCUUGUGUCUGUGGAGCAAACGCUCCAACAGGCUGCAUCUCCAGUCCUGCAUCUGGAGGCCUGUAAUGGGCAAAUUACAUGGUGCGUAAAUUGUGCCUCAACAAAGCGAUUAAAAUGUCACCAGAACAAACCAUAGGGAUCGUCUUUCAGCUCGUGGGUGGGUUGACAAAUACCACAGACCCUACUCUGAGAAGCCUUGGGGGAACAAACCAGAGAAAACUCUCCACUCUCCACUCGGGCCAGACGGUAUCUGUACCUGUCAUCCCAGCACUCCAAGCUAGAGGAUCCAGCUGGAGGCCAGGUCGGCUGCGUGGCUGAGGCCUGGCCUGAAACAACGCACAGGUGGAGGAUGUGAGAUGCCCCAGUUGCUGAAGAGCUUGCUGUGCAAACACACGGACCUCGGCAUGAGUCCCGGAACCCAGACACACAUUUCCUGCCACUCUAGGCUUCCUUGAAGACUUCCCACCUUACGCCUUUGGCUGCUUGAUGAACCCCGUUGGAUCCCAGCUCAGAAAGUACAGCUUCGCCUUCUCCAGGCAGCUGCCAAGAUUUGCAGCUCUCCUGAUCUGUUGUUUCCUCAUAAACUCUAAUUAAAUUGUCCCCAGGCUUCCUUCUGAA